GAUGAACGCUGGCGGCGUGCCUAAUACAUGCAAGUCGAACGAAACUUCUUUAUCACCGAGUGCUUGCACUCACCGAUAAAGAGUUGAGUGGCGAACGGGUGAGUAACACGUGGGCAACCUGCCCAAAAGAGGGGGAUAACACUUGGAAACAGGUGCUAAUACCGCAUAACCAUAGUUACCGCAUGGUAACUAUGUAAAAGGUGGCUAUACUACCGCUUUUGGAUGGGCCCGCGGCGCAUUAGCUAGUUGGUAGGGUAAAGGCUUAUCAAGGCAAUGAUGCGUAGCCGAAUUGAGAGGUUGAUCGGCCACAUUGGGACUGAGACACGGCCCAAACUCCUACGGGAGGCAGCAGUAGGGAAUCUUCCACAAUGGGCGAAAGCCUGAUGGAGCAACGCCGCGUGGGUGAAGAAGGUCUUCGGAUCGUAAAACCCUGUUGUUAGAGAAGAAAGUGCGUGAGAGUAACUGUUCACGUUUCGACGGUAUCUAAACAGAAAGCCACGGCUAACUACGUG
rnacentral:rRNA from 1 species